GGCGGACGUGGCCAAGUGGAUUAAG
rnacentral:tRNA from 1 species